AUUAGGUUUAAUUCAAUGAUUGGUAGCUGUAUGUUUAAGAAGCACAAGAUAUGGUUGCCUCAGUUUGCCUUUUUGUGGGAGAAAUAGGGGAAGAAAGUUCACAGACUGAGUAGAGGAGCACAGACCAUCCUCCACUGCCCAAACUCUCAGCAAUAAAAUGAUGAGAUGCUGCUGACUCUCUGAAAAGGACUCACUCCCUCAGCCCAAUUUACAGCAAAGCCGCAGCCUCCUGCAGAGCCUCUGGGGCAGCAGCUUCAUCGGCAUCAUUCUAAAACCCUGUCUCAUUCUUGAAGCGGUGGACAGACAGAAGCUGAUUACAUCCUCCAUCUAAGUGUGUGUGUGUUUUGUCUAGGAUAUCUAUCUGGACCAAAACAGUAAUCAAAGUGACUGCCACUCUGCCUUGUGUCUUUAACAGUUUCACCAUGUGGCCCAUUCCCCUCAUAUUUCUUAGAACAUUGCCUUGAAUACAGGAUACAUCCCCACUGGAGAGAUUUACAGUGCAAAACUCCUUCGGUAUCAGAUACUGUGCAGGGUUGAAUUAAGUGGGUUAGUUAUUCCGGCAGAGGAGAGCUCAAUAACUCACGACUAACUGCGUUAGCCGUAAAUUAUAAACAUCUUUUCAUGAGCAAUCAUUUCUAUAAUGUACCCUGUCAAAUCAUUCUUUCAUUUUAUUGCAUCAUUUAUUGAUGACCUGGUAUGCUUUAAGGUACUGAUACAAGGUAGAGGGGCUAUUUUAAUGAUCUGAACUGUGGUGGAUCUUAAUCUUAAUUCCCUAAAAAUGUAUGUUUAAGGUAUGAAAGACUAGCAACCACAGGCUUUCUAGAUUUACUUUUUUUUAAUGUCUCAGUGUUAGGACAAUUAAACAAAAAAAAAGAAAAGAAAUUGUGCAUUUGAUAUUUGGUUACAUUACUCUUAACAUUUUUAAUUUCCUCCCACUUAAAUAUUUGAUGAAGUUCAAUUACAAGCAUUUGUUAAAUUAAUGGGCAGCAGUGUGGAGUAGUGGUUAGUGCACUGGUCUCUUGACCGGAGGGUUGUGGGUUCAAUCCCCAGUGGGGGACACUGCUGUUGUACCCUUGAGCAAGGUACUUUACCUAGAUUGCUCCAGUAAAAACCCAACUGUAUAAAUGGGCAAUUGUAUGUAAAAAUAAUGUGAU